GGUUCCGGAUACCGAAUCCGGGACUCCGAACUGCAGAAGAUCCACAGGGCAGCUGUCAAAGGCGACGCCGCGGAGGUGGAGCGCUGCUUGGCGCGCAGGAGCGGAGAACUGGACGCCCUGGACAAGCAGCACAGCAGUGUGUCCCCGAGAAAGUGUCAGAGCCUUUACCUGGAUCUUCGCAUGAAAAAGGAAACAGAAUAGUCAAUGGACAAGGAGAAGGGCCUCCUGCAAAACAUCCUUCCUUGAAGCCUAGCACUGAAGUGGAAGAUCCUGCUGUGAAAGGAGCAGUACAAAGAAAGAAUGUACAGACAUUGAGAGCAGAACAAGCCUUACCAGUGGCUUCAGAGGAAGAGCAACAAAGGCAUGAAAGAAGUGAAAAGAAGCAACCACAGCUAAUUUUAAAACAUGCACUCUGACAGAAAAGGCAUCUGAGAAACAAAACAAGCAAAUUUGUUUUCCAUUUUGCACCUGCC
rnacentral:lncRNA from 1 species